CCUACGGGUGGCAGCAGUGGGGAAUAUUGGACAAUGGGCGAAAGCCUGAUCCAGCCAUGCCGCGUGUGUGAAGAAGGCCUUCGGGUUGUAAAGCACUUUCAGUGGGGAAGAAAGCCUUGGGGCUAAUACCCUCGAGGAAGGACAUCACCCACAGAAGAAGCACCGGCUAACUCCGUGCCAGCAGCCGCGGUAAUACGGAGGGUGCGAGCGUUAAUCGGAAUUACUGGGCGUAAAGCGCGCGUAGGCGGUCUGAUAAGCCGGUUGUGAAAGCCCCGGGCUCAACCUGGGAACGGCAUCCGGAACUGUCAGGCUAGAGUGCAGGAGAGGAAGGUAGAAUUCCCGGUGUAGCGGUGAAAUGCGUAGAGAUCGGGAGGAAUACCAGUGGCGAAGGCGGCCUUCUGGACUGACACUGACGCUGAGGUGCGAAAGCGUGGGUAGCAAACAGGAUUAGAUACCCGGGUCGUC
rnacentral:rRNA from 1 species